UGAUCAUGACUUGCAGAUGACCCCUAUUGAUUUUGAGGUCACUAGGUCAAAGGUCAAGGUCACAGUGACCCGAAAUAGUCAAAUGGUUUCCGGAUGAUAACUCAAGAACGCAUACGCCUAGGAUCAUGAAACUUCAUGGGUAGAUUGAUCAUGACUCGCAGAUGACCCCUAUUGAUUUUGAGGUCACUAGGUCAAAGGUCAAGGUCACGGUGACCCGAAAUAGUAAAAUGAUUUUCGGAUGAUAAUUCAAGAACGCAUAUGCCUAGGAUCAUGAAACUUUAUAGGUAGAUUGAUCAUGACUCGCAGAUGACCCCUUUUGAUUUUCAGGUCACUAGGUCAAAGGUCAAGGUCACAGUGACAAAAGUCGUAUUCACACAAUGGCUGCCAGUACAACGGACAGCCCAUAUGGGGGGCAUGCAUGUUUUACAAACAGCCCUUGUUAUAU